rnacentral:lncRNA from 1 species
UUUUUUUUUCAAUAGUAAUUAUUUUCGAAGGGUUAAAUAUUUCGCGGUGGUGUUUUGCCAUGGCUUUGUUUGGACUUUUUUGUUUGCUUUUUGGCCUUGUCUGUUUGUCCCUAAUAUUUUAUUAACUGUGCAUUUGCAUUCAGGUAUCGCAGAUCAAAUUUAUUCGUUCAUAGUGUGUUAAUUUAUGUUUUUUGAUUGAGUUAAGCCUUCCAAUUGAUAUUUUAUCGUGUGGUUUUCUAUGUUGUGAUUUUAUGCUAUUGUUUCAGAAAAAAGGAGAAGGUUUGGUACCAUUAAAACUUUUAAUCCCGCUGCAAAUGUUUGCACCUGUCCUAAGUCAGGAAUCUGAUGUACAGUAGUUGUCGUUUGUUUAUGUAAUUUAUACGUGUUUCUCGUUUCUCGUUUUUUUUUUAUAUAGAUUAGACCGUUGGUUUUCCCGUUUGAAUGGUUUUACACUAGUAAUUUUGGGGCCCUUUAUAGCUUUUUGUUCGGUGUGAGCCAAGGCUCCGUGUUGAAGGCCGUACAUUGACCUAUAAUGGUUUACUUUUAUAAAUUUGUUAUUUGGAUGGAGAGUUGUCUCAUUGGCACUCACACCACAUCUUCCUA